rnacentral:rRNA from 1 species
UACGGGAGGCAGCAGUGGGGAAUAUUGCACAAUGGGCGCAAGCCUGAUGCAGCCAUGCCGCGUGUAUGAAGAAGGCCUUCGGGUUGUAAAGUACUUUCAGUCGUGAGGAAGGUGUUAAGGUUAAUAACCUUAGCAAUUGACGUUAGCGACAGAAGAAGCACCGGCUAACUCCGUGUCAGCAGCCGCGGUAAUACGGAGGGUGCGAGCGUUAAUCGGAAUUACUGGGCGUAAAGGGCACGCAGGCGGUUAAUUAAGUUGGAUGUGAAAUCCCCGGGCUUAACCUGGGAAUGGCAUUCAAGACUGGUUAGCUAGAGUCUUGUAGAGGGGGUAGAAUUCCAUGUGUAGCGGUGAAAUGCGUAGAGAUGUGGAGGAAUACCGGUGGCGAAGGCGGCCCCUGGACAAAGGCUGACGCUCAUGUGCGAAAGCGUGGGGAGCAAACG